rnacentral:rRNA from 1 species
UACGGGGGGAGCAAGCGUUGUUCGGAUUUACUGGGCGUAAAGGGCGCGUAGGCGGUCAGCACAAGUCAGUUGUGAAAUCUCCGGGCUUAACUCGGAAAGGUCAACUGAUACUGUGCGACUAGAGUGCAGAAGGGGCAACUGGAAUUCUCGGUGUAGCGGUGAAAUGCGUAGAUAUCGAGAGGAACACCUGCGGCGAAGGCGGUUCUCUGGGCCUUACCUGACGCUGAGGAGCGAAAGCGUGGGGAGCGAACAGG